rnacentral:rRNA from 1 species
UACGUAGGGGGCUAGCGUUGUCCGGAAUCAUUGGGCGUAAAGAGCGUGUAGGCGGUUCGGUAAGUCCGCUGUGAAAGUCCAGGGCUCAACCCUGGAAUGCCAGUGGAAACUGCCGAGCUAGAGUCCGGAAGAGGCGAGUGGAAUUCCUGGUGUAGCGGUGAAAUGCGCAGAUAUCAGGAGGAACACCAAUGGCGAAGGCAGCACUCUGGGACGUGACUGACGCUGAGACGCGAAAGCGUGGGGAGCAAACAGG